rnacentral:rRNA from 1 species
CAGGCCUAACACAUGCAAGUCGAACGGCAGCACGGGAGCAAUCCUGGUGGCGAGUGGCGAACGGGUGAGUAAUAUAUCGGAACGUGCCCAGUCGUGGGGGAUAACGCAGCGAAAGCUGUGCUAAUACCGCAUACGAUCUUUGGAUGAAAGCGGGGGACUCGCAAGGGCCUCGCGCGAUUGGAGCGGCCGAUAUCAGAUUAGCUAGUUGGUGGGGUAAAGGCCCACCAAGGCAACGAUCUGUAGCUGGUCUGAGAGGACGACCAGCCACACUGGAACUGAGACACGGUCCAGACUCCUACGGGAGGCAGCAGUGGGGAAUUUUGGACAAUGGGCGCAAGCCUGAUCCAGCAAUGCCGCGUGCAGGAUGAAGGCCUUCGGGUUGUAAACUGCUUUUGUACGGAACGAAACGGCUCUUUCUAAUAAAGAGGGCUAAUGACGGUACCGUAAGAAUAAGCACCGGCUAACUACGUGCCAGCAGCCGCGGUAAU